rnacentral:rRNA from 1 species
AGAGUUUGAUCCUGGCUCAGGACGAACGCUAGUUCUGCGCGCUUAACACAUGCAAGUCGAGCGGAAAGGCCCUUCGGGGUACUCGAGCGGCGAACGGGUGAGUAACACGUGAGCAACCUACCCUUGGCUCUGGGAUAACCCCGGGAAACCGGGGCUAAUACCGGAUACCCACGCACCUCCGCAUGGGGGUGCGUGAAAAGCUUUUCGGCUGGGGAUGGGCUCGCGGCCUAUCAGCUUGUUGGCGGGGUAACGGCCCACCAAGGCUUCGACGGGUAGCCGGCCUGAGAGGGCGACCGGCCACACUGGGACUGAGAUACGGCCCAGGCUCCUACGGGAGGCAGCAGUGGGGAAUAUUGCACAAUGGGCGCAAGCCUGAUGCAGCGACGCAGCGUGAGGGACGAAGGCCUUCGGGUUGUAAACCUCUUUCGGCAGGGACGAAGCGAAAGUGACGGUACCUGAAGAAGAAGCGCCGGCCAACUACGUGCCAGCAGCCGCGGUA